GCGAACGCUGGCGGCGUGCUUAACACAUGCAAGUCGAACGGGUGUAGCAAUACACUCGUGGCGGACGGGUGCGUAACACGUGGAUAACCUUCCUUCAGGUGGGGAAAUAACCCAGUGAAAAUUGGGCUAAUACCGCAUAACAAAACGAGGGCACAUGCUCUUGUUUUCAAAGGCGCAAGUCGCCAGAAGAGGGAUCCGCGGCCGAUUAGCUUGUUGGCGGGGGUAACGGCCCACCAAGGCUAUGAUCGGUAUCCGGACUGAGAGGUUGGCCGGACACACUGGAACUGAGACACGGUCCAGACUCCUACGGGAGGCAGCAGUGGGGAAUCUUGCACAAUGGACGAAAGUCUGAUGCAGCAACGCCGCGUGGGGGGAUGAAGCUUCUCGGAGUGUAAACCCCUUUCGACCCGGAAGAAAGCCCGCAAGGGGUUUGACGGUACGGGUAUAAGAAGCCCCGGCUAACUACGUGCCAGCAGCCGCGGGUAAUACGUAGGGGGCCAGCGUUGCUCGGAAUUACUGGGCGUAAAGGGUCCGUAGGCGGUGUGGUAAGUCGAUAGUGAAAUCUCUGGGCUUAAACUCAGAGGCUGCUAACGAAACUGCCAUGCUCGAGUGUGAGAGAGGCGAGUGGAAUUACGGGUGUAGCGGUGAAAUGCGUAGAUAUCCGUAGGAACAUCCGAGGCGAAAGCGGCUCGCUGGAUCACAACUGACGCUGAGGGACGAAAGCUAGGGGAGCAAACAGGAUUAGAUACCCUGGUAGUCCUAGCCCUAAAACCAUCAGGACUUGGGGUUUGCCCUGUACGGGGCAAGUCUCGUAGCUAACGCGUUAAGUCCUGCGCCUGGGGAGUACGGUCGCAAGGCUGAAACUCAAAAGGAAUUGACGGGGGCCCGCACAAGCGGUGGAACAUGUGGUUCAAUUCGACGCAACGCGAAGAACCUUACCUGGGCUUGAACCGCACAGGACCAGCUCUAGAAAUAGGGCCUUCCCGCAAGGGACCUGUGUAGAGGUGCUGCAUGGCUGUCGUCAGCUCGUGCCGUGAGGUGUUGGGUUAAGUCCCGCAACGAGCGCAACCCUUACUCUUAGUUGCCACCCGCAAGGGGGAACUCUAAGAGGACUGCUCCGGAUAACGGAGAGGAAGGUGGGGAUGAGGUCAAGUCAGCAUGGCCUUUAUGUCCAGGGCUACACACGUGUUACAAUGGCGCGCUACAAAGUGUCGCGAACCCGCGAGGGGGAGCUAAUCGCAAAAAAAGCGCGCUCAGUUCGGAUUGCAGUCUGCAACUCGACUGCAUGAAGCUGGAAUCGCUAGUAAUGGCGCAUCAGAUCGGCGCCGUGAAUACGUUCCCGGGCCUUGUACACACCGCCCCGUCACAUCACGAAAGUGGGCUGUACUAGAAGUCGCCGCGCCAACCGCAAGGAGGCAGGCGCCCAAGGUAUGACUCAUGAUUGGGGUG
rnacentral:rRNA from 1 species